AUCACAAAACAAAUAGUGAGCUCCCUAUUCACAAGGGCAACAGAGGCAGCAGCAAUUUGUGUUUCCCACACUGCCCUGCCAAUGACCCGAACCCUGACCUGGAGGGGCCACCCUCACUCUGGUGAGAGGCAAUUCAGUCUUGGGUCUGAUCCUGGUGCCAAA
rnacentral:sRNA from 1 species